rnacentral:rRNA from 1 species
GACGAACCGUCCAAACGUUAUUCGGAAUCACUGGGCUUAAAGGGUGCGUAGGCGGCGCGGAAAGUUGGGUGUGAAAUCCCUCGGCUUAACCGAGGAACGGCGCCCAAAACUACCGUGCUUGAGGGAGAUAGAGGUGAGCGGAACUUAGGGUGGAGCGGUGAAAUGCGUAGAGAUGUGGAGGAACACCGAUGGCGAAGGCAGCCCCCUGGGUCAAAACUGACGCUCAUGCACGAAAGCGUGGGGAGCAAACAGG